rnacentral:rRNA from 1 species
GACGAACGCUGGCGGCGCGCUUAACACAUGCAAGUUGAACGGAAAGGCCCUGCUUUUGUGGGGUGCUCGAGUGGCGAACGGGUGAGUAACACGUGAGUAACCUGCCCUUGACUUUGGGAUAACUUCAGGAAACUGGGGCUAAUACCGGAUAGGAGCUCCUGCUGCAUGGUGGGGGUUGGAAAGUUUCGGCGGUUGGGGAUGGACUCGCGGCUUAUCAGCUUGUUGGUGGGGUAGUGGCUUACCAAGGCUUUGACGGGUAGCCGGCCUGAGAGGGUGACCGGCCACAUUGGGACUGAGAUACGGCCCAGACUCCUACGGGAGGCAGCAGUGGGGAAUAUUGCACAAUGGGCGGAAGCCUGAUGCAGCAACGCCGCGUGCGGGAUGACGGCCUUCGGGUUGUAAACCGCUUUCGCCUGUGACGAAGCGUGAGUGACGGUAAUGGGUAAAGAAGCACCGGCUAACUACGUG